rnacentral:rRNA from 1 species
AUGAAGGGAUGGGGGGCCAACCUUGGGCGUGAUGCCAGAGAGCGCAAGAAAGCGCUGCUUACCGCGAUUCAGGCACUUGACCUUCGGGCUGACUUGGUGGGUCUGUCUCCGGAUGAGUGGCUGGCCCGCUAUGACCUCGAAGACCAACUCUUUGUGAUCUACUCCGAUGAGGAGGCCUAUUGGCGCAUUCAAGGCGCCCAGAAGUGGGUCCUGAAGGGUGAUGCGAAUACCGCUUACUUCCAGGUGAUCGCCAACGGCCGCCGUAGACGCAACACCAUCCCCCUCCUCUGGGAUGGGGAGACCCUUCUCCAGGACCCUCGCGACAUCCGGACUCAUGUCGACGGCUUCUAUAGGUCCCUUUUCUCUGCCGCUCCUCGGAGCGGCAUCUCCCUCGCCCACGAUUGUUGGGCCGGUAUUCAGUUAGUCUCCGAUGCGGAGAACGCAGCCCUGACGGCCCCCUUCUCUGAGCAAGAGGUCUGGGCGGCUAUCAAGGGUAUGAAUGCCUCUUCGGCGCCUGGGCCUGAUGGCCUCCCUGUCAUUUUCUUCAAGACCUUCUGGAACGUGAUUAAACCGGAGGUCAUGGCCAUCUUUGAGGAAUUCUUUGUUGGUUCUAUUGACCUAGGUCGCCUUAACUAUGGGAUCAUCUCUCUCAUCCCCAAGGUCCCUGGGGCGUCCGACAUCCGCCAGUCCCGGCCGAUCACGGUCAUUAAUGUGAUCUUCCGGAUCCUGGCCAAGGGGUACACCAAUAGGGUGACCCUGCUUGCUGACCGGAUAACCCAUCCUAACCAGUCAGCCUUCAUUAAAGGACGAUAUAUCCUGGAUGGAGUCCUGGUCCUCCACGAGGUCCUUCACGAGGUCCGGACCAAGCACCUUAGGGCGGUGUUUCUGAAGAUCGAUUUUCACAAAGCCUAUGAUUCUGUCAGUUGGACCUUCCUCAGGGAAGUCCUUCUUCAGAAGGGCUUCGAUGACCGCUGGAUCACUAGAGUCAUGCAAAUGGUCUCUUGCGGCCGCACGGCGGUCAACCUCAACGGCGAGAUUGGUCCCUUCUUCCCCACCCUUUGUGGGGUUCGCCAAGGCGACCCCUUCUCCCCGUUCCUCUUCAAUAUGGUGGUGGAUGCCCUGGCCGCCAUCCUUGAUAAGGCCAAAGCUGCUGGCCACAUUCGUGGGAUCACCCCACACCUCUCUGGGGGAUCGGGGAUCUCCAUCCUUCAGUAUGCUGACGACACGAUCAUCAUGGUCGAAGGCUCGGAGGUGGACAUCGCCAACCUCAAGUUCCUCCUUCUCUGCUUUCAACAGAUGUCGGGCCUCAAGAUCAACUUUGAUAAGAGCGACGUCAUGGUGAUGGGAUAUUCCCCCUCUGAGUCUCUGGCCAUCGCCAACAGGCUUAAUUGCCUCUUGGGUUCUUUCCCCACCUCCUACCUGGGGACCCCCAUUAGCGACUCGCGUCUUUCUACCGCGGACUUGAGGCCCGCAGUUACUAAGCUCCAGUCCUGGUGCGAGCCCUGGUAG